rnacentral:tRNA from 1 species
GCCUGGAUGGCUCAGUGGUUGAGCAUCUGCCUUUGGUUCAGGUUGUGGGAUCAAGUCCCGCAUCAGGCU